rnacentral:rRNA from 1 species
UACGGAAGGCAGCAGUGGGGAAUAUUGCACAAUGGGCGAAAGCCUGAUGCAGCUAUGCCGCGUGUAUGAAGAAGGCCUUAGGGUUGUAAAGUACUUUUCAUCGGGGAGGAAAAAACAAAACUAAUAAUUUUAUUUUCUUGACGUUACCCGAAAAAGAAGCACCGGCUAACUCCGUGCCAGCAGCCGCGGUAAUACGGAGGGUGCUAGCGUUAAUCAGAAUUACUGAGCGUAAAGAAGCACGUAGGUGGUUUUUUUAAGUUCAGAUGUGAAAUCCCUGGGCUUAACCUAGGAACUGCAUUUUGAAACUGAAAUACUAGAGUAUCGUAGAGGGAGGUAGAAUUCUAGGUGUAGCGGUGAAAUGCGUAGAUAUCUGGAGGAAUACCUGUGGCGAAAGCGGCCUCCUAAACGAAUACUGACACUGAGGUGCGAAAGCGUGGGGAGCAAACAGGGAUUAGAUACC